UACAGAGGGUGCGAGCGUUAAUCGGAAUUACUGGGCGUAAAGCGUGCGUAGACGGUUAUUUAAGUCGGAUGUGAAAGCCCGGGCUCAACCUGGGAAUUGCAUUCGAGACUGAAUAGCUAGGGUACGGUAGAGGGAAGCGGAAUUUCCGGUGUAGCGGUGAAAUGCGUAGAUAAUCGGAAGGAACAUCAGUGGCGAAAGCGGACUU
rnacentral:rRNA from 1 species